rnacentral:lncRNA from 10 species
CGGAACUCAAAAUGUUUUCCCCAGCAAAGAACUCCUACAGUCCCCAGGCAGAAGGGGCUUCUUUCCAUACAGCCCCGUUCUCCACUUCAAGCUGCAUUUUGGGACAAUUCUGUGCCCAUGUGCCAUCUUCCUGUGUGCUCCUGCUCUAGGCUGUGCUCUGAGGAAACAAAACAUGUGUCUACUGAUAAAUGGAAUUGGGAGGGCAUUUCUCACCUACCUACCUGUCCCUGGAGAUCCCUCUGUUUUGCUUUUUUCCUCUUACACUUGCCUAUAGAUAACUGGUUGAUAUGGUUUGGCUGUGCCCCCACCCAAAUCUCAUGUUGAAUUGUUGUUCCCACAAUCCCCACGUGUCACGGGAGGGACCCAGUGAGAGGUAAUUCAACCAUGGGAGCGGUUUCCCGCAUGCUAUUCUCGUGAUAGUGAGUGAUUCCUCACGAGAUCUGAUGGUUUUACAAGGGGCUUCCCCCUUUGUUCAGCUCUCAUUCUUCUCAUUCCUGCUACCAUGUGAAGAAGGAUGUGUUUGCUUCCCC